rnacentral:rRNA from 1 species
UACGGAGGAUCCAAGCGUUAUCCGGAUUUAUUGGGUUUAAAGGGUGCGUAGGCGGCUCAUUAAGUCAGGGGUGAAAGACGGUAGCUUAACUAUCGCAGUGCCUUUGAUACUGAUGAGCUUGAAUGUAGUUGAGGUAGGCGGAAUGUGACAAGUAGCGGUGAAAUGCAUAGAUAUGUCACAGAACACCAAUUGCGAAGGCAGCUUACUAAAGUAUGAUUGACGCUGAGGCACGAAAGCGUGGGGAUCAAACAGG